UAUCACCGACUUUUGCAAGAAAUGCGGCUGGAAAGAGAAGCAAAUUUUAUGACUUAUUUCAGGAUGCCUCCUGCUGUAUUCGACACAUUACUAAAGCUUGUUGCACCUAAAAUUAAAAAAAAUGACAUCCAACUAUCGCAAGCCAAUUUCAGCAGCCGAGAGGUUGGCUAUAACUCUCAGAUUUCUGGUGACUGGUGAUACGUAUCAAACUAUUGCUUUCUCAUUCCGAACACAUAAGGCUACAGUAUCUAUUAUUGUUCCUGAAGUGUGCAAGGCAAUUUGGGAAAUUUUACAACCACAGUACAUGCCAAGACCAACAAAAGAAAUGUGGCUUCAAAUAACUGAAGGAUUUUUUAGGCAAUGGAACUUUCCAAACUGUAUCGGAAGUAUUGAUGGAAAGCAUGUCAGUUUGCAGGCCCCAGCUAACAGUGGCUCAUUGUAUUUUAAUUACAAGCGUACCUUCAGCGUUGUUCUCAUGGCAUUGGUUGAUGCCAAUUACAAGUUUGUGUAUGUAGAUGUUUGUGCUUACGGAAAGCAAAGUGAUGGGAAUGUGUUUUCAAAUUGUUCACUGUAUAAAGCAAUAUGUACAGGUAAUUUAAACAUUCCAGAAAGUAGAUAUCUUCCUGGUACCACAACUUCGUUUCCGCUUGUACUAGUUGGUGAUGAGGCAUUUCCUCUAAAGGAAUAUUUAAUGAGGCCCUUCCCAAGAAAAUUCCUGAAUUCUGAACGCAGAAUUUUUAAUUACAGACUAUCUAGAGCCAGACGAACAGUUGAAAAUGCUUUUGGUAUUUUGUCAUCAAAAUUUAGAGUUUUUCGUAGACCACUAGCUGUUAAACCAGAACGAGCUAAUGAAGUAGUAAAAUGCUGCACCAUACUACAUAACUUUUUACGGUUUCAUUCUAAUUCGUGUGAUGAAAUCACACAUGACUGUGAGGAUGCUAGAGGUCCAAUACAGGAUUCACAUAUAAUGCUACCAUUAAAAUCAACUGGAGGAUACUACUCAAACAAUGCAAUUCAGUUAAGAGAAGAGCUUGUCAGUUACUUUACAAGUGAAAAUGGAGCAGUCUCAUGGCAAUCAUCAAUUCUUUAAUUUAUUUUUUACAUGUUUAUAUUAAACUCAAUUUUGUGUAGCAGUUCUAAUGAAAGUUGUUGAAAUUUUGCUUGUUGUUAUGGUGUCAUGUCUUGUAGCUUGCUAUUUAAAAAGUCACAAUAAAUUGAACUUGAGUUGCUUGCAGUCAACUCAAUAUCUAUUGGUGCCCUUGCAACUUCAAUGAGGUCUUCCAGUUGGUCCUCGAACUUCCUUUUCUUUUUGGACACAGAUUCGGAGUGUUCUUUACAAAUAAGUCACAUUCCAAAAACAUUGUUGCCAAAUACUCAUGUACCAACUAACCUGAAGUUGAGGACAGACUUUCAUUAAGUUCAGCAGAUGUUGAGCAGGAUGGCUCAUCAUUCUCAACAUCUACGACAACAAUGUUUGAUGCAGUACUGCAAAAAAUAUUUGUUAACUUUUGAAGUGAAUGAAUUUACAAUAGUACCUUCUUGGUUUUAGAUGGUCGUCAAGAAAAGACAUUGUCUCAGAUAAGGUCCAUUUAGCUGUAUGUGUGGCAGCUGCCCCAGACUUGAAACUUGACUGAUGCUUUUUUUUCUAUCGGACAUAUUUGUUGCGUAAUCGUUUCCACGAUUGUUUGCAUUCUGCGACUAAUUUUUUAAAUGUUACGUUGCAAUUUAAUCAGUAUUUUAAUGUAGGGCUUAUAUAUGAUUGAA